AGCGCCGUCCGUGGUGGGCCCAUUUUCUCGGCCUGGCACCAGUGACGUUUUGGGCUGGCUGGUGUCUGUGGGGCGCUGUCCUGGGCACUGUGGAAGCCCUGAAGCAUCGCGGCCCUCCAUCCCCAACAUGUUGGGAACAUUUCCCCACCCGACUGUGACCACCCCCUCAUCUCUGGCCAAGGAAGGCCAGCUUCCCCGGCAGGGACAACCAAAGAUCAGCAGCUCAGCCCCUGCUUUUCACUGUGUCUGGCUCCUUCCCCAGACAGGGCACCUCAGUCUCAGCCCUGAGGAGCUGGGCUCUUCCUCUCCUGCACCCAGGACAGCUGACACUGCGGAAGGGCUCGCCCACCUUCCCCGAGUGAUGGAUGAGUGAACCAACCAAUCCCUGGGCGUGAGCCCCAGCAGCAGCUUUGUUGAGCAGGCAGGCUGUGGGCCAGGCACUGGGUGCCCAGGGCGGCUGCCUGCAGGCAGCACCCUACCAGACUCUGUCAACCUCCGGCACUGGGCGGGUGCCCUUCCCCGGUGACCCAAAGGCCUCCUGAGCUGGACAGUUACAACCAGGGAGGCUGGCAGGGCUCCUCCCUGCCGUCGCUGACCCCGGACCCGGGGCCACUGCCCAGUCCCCAUCCCCCAGGGCCCGGUCCAUCCCCCAGGCGACCUGGUUCUGCACCGUCAGCUCCUGGUGCCAAAGGGAGGACUUCUGCCUGAGUCUUCACUCACAAAGGCGACCGAGUGAGGUCGCAGAAGUCACUGCCACCGAAUGCAGAGGCGGCCGGUGGACACAUGCUGGUGACAGGCAGGGACUUGGGCAGAGCUGUGGACUCGAACUCUGUGUGAGACCCGCUGUUGCUGCACAUCAGCCAGUGUGUUGGGACAGUGGGGUGUCCCUCACGCUGCAGGAGCAACACCCAGCGUCACCGGGAGAGGCCGGGAGGCACUGUCAGCAGCCAGGAGAUGACACAGAAGCCUGUGUCCUCACUCUGGACGCGGGAAAAAUUUCUCCAGAAAGACGCACAAAGCACGGCCCCUUCCUGGGAAACCCUCACGAUGUCCAGCACACGGAGCCGGCUCUGCACCGAAGGACCAGGGAGUGCAACCAGCCUUGGGACAGGGCCCUGGCAGCCCGCGGAGCUGACACAGCCAGUGUCCGGGGCGGUGAGGACAGGAAGGGCCGAGGCCUGGGUCAGAGAACUUGACCGGGUGCCUCAAGGAGGGGGAGGCAACGCCCAGUGGCUGGAAGGACAAGGUGGGCCCAGCAAGCGGCAGUGGGCAGGACACACAGUGGGCCCACAGGAGGUGCUGCCCCAGGAUGCUGGCGCACCUCCGGGCAGGCGUCCCACCCACAGCGCUGCGAGGCCUUGGUCCCCACCGGGGACAGCACGGACAUCCCACCCAGGGGAAGAAACUCGGACUGUGGGACCAGUAGGCCCUCUCCUAGGUGAACACCCCAAGGAGUCGGGCCUAGGCUGCUGACCAGGGCCAUCUUCCUGGGCCCCCCGCAGAUGCCCCAGUGGGACGCCUACAGUGGGGUGAAGGUGCGAAGGACUCCACCCCCACCCCGGACCUGGCCCCACAAGCUUUUGUUUCAGAAACUCCAGGUCAGGCCCUCCUGGCUCCUGGGAAACAGCCGACCCCCUGGGGCACCGCUAGAGACCACCACCUGGGGUCCGCGGGAGGCAUCCAGGCCUUUGUGUUUCAGGCACAGACAGACCACCACCCUCCCCUUGAAACCGUGAACUGCUGAGGACAGGAACGUCGCAGCUUCUGAGUCUCACAGCCCACCCCCCACUUUAUGAAAGGUCUGGCCUGGAAAGAAAAGACAAGAUGGUCUGUUGGGUGUGAACCCACCAUCUUCUCAGCUCUCCGCCAUCUGAGUAAAGGGCCCAUAAAAGAUUCAAUCGCUGUCAUUGCUUCCUAGUUUGGUAGUGACAGGCAGCCCGAACGCUGGUGUCUGUUCCAGUUCCAGUCUCAGAAAAACGUGGAAAUGGCUAUAAUGAGGCACCCGCAGUGCAGCUCUCCCCGCUCUCUGGGAACCGUGCCCUGAGCUGGGAAAGACAGUCAGAGCACAGGGCCAAGCAGCAGCUCCCGGGCCCCGAGCCCUCCGGGGCCCGGCUCCUCCCAGACACAGGCUCCCUGCUCUGCACCCCUGGCCCUCGGCCCUGAGCCUGCGGGGUUGGAGCCACACACGCCGACUGUGGUCGGUGGUUCCGAACUGCAGCAACAGAGCCACCUGCACGCUGUCCUCAGAGCAGAGGCUGGGCUGUGGACAGAUGUUCCAACCAGCUCUGAGGCAGGGACAGCAGCUGUGACGAGCCCCACCUGGUGCUGGCAACCACGCAGGUCACAGACCCAUUGUGACCACCUCCGCCAGGGAAAAGAUUAAAAUUUAAAUUUAAAAUUGAAAACAAGACAAAGACAA